CACGUAGUUAGCCGUGGCUUAUUCAUCAGGUACCGUCACUUGCUUCGUCCCUGAUAAAAGAAGUUUACAACCCGAGAGCCUUCUUCCUUCACGCGGCGUUGCUGGGUCAGGCUUGCGCCCAUUGCCCAAUAUUCCCCACUGCUGCCUCCCGUAGGAGUCUGGGCCGUGUCUCAGUCCCAAUGUGGCCGGCCAACCUCUCAGUCCGGCUACUGAUCGUCGCCUUGGUGGGCCGUUGCCCCACCAACUAGCUAAUCAGACGCGAGCCCAUCUCAGAGCGAUAGAUCUUUGAUGUCCAGUACCAUGUGAUACAGACAUAUCAUGCGGUAUUAGCAGCUGUUUCCAGCUGUUAUUCCCCACUCCAAGGCAGGUUGCUCACGCGUUACUCACCCGUCCGCCACUAAGCAGUCCCUUCAGUUGUCCGAAAACUCCGUCAGGGGUGCUCCGUUCGACUUGCAUGUGUUAAGCACGCCGCCAGCGUUCAU
rnacentral:rRNA from 1 species